rnacentral:rRNA from 1 species
CGGCAGCACAGAAGAGCUUGCUCUUUGGGUGGCGAGUGGCGGACGGGUGAGUAAUGUCUGGGAAACUGCCCGAUGGAGGGGGAUAACUACUGGAAACGGUAGCUAAUACCGCAUAACGUCGCAAGACCAAAGUGGGGGACCUUCGGGCCUCACACCAUCGGAUGUGCCCAGAUGGGAUUAGCUAGUAGGUGGGGUAAUGGCUCACCUAGGCGACGAUCCCUAGCUGGUCUGAGAGGAUGACCAGCCACACUGGAACUGAGACACGGUCCAGACUCCUACGGGAGGCAGCAGUGGGGAAUAUUGCACAAUGGGCGCAAGCCUGAUGCAGCCAUGCCGCGUGUAUGAAGAAGGCCUUCGGGUUGUAAAGUACUUUCAGCGGGGAGGAAGGCGGUGAGGUUAAUAACCUCGCCGAUUGACGUUACCCGCAGAAGAAGCACCGGCUAACUCCGUGCCAGCAGCCGCGGUAAUACGGAGGGUGCAAGCGUUAAUCGGAAUUACUGGGCGUAAAGCGCACGCAGGCGGUCUGUUAAGUCAGAUGUGAAAUCCCCGGGCUUA